rnacentral:rRNA from 1 species
AUUGAACGCUGGCGGCAUGCCUUACACAUGCAAGUCGAACGGAGCGGCGGACGGGUGAGUAAUGUCUAGGAAUCUGCCCGGUAGCGGGGGAUAACGUCCGGAAACGGUCGCUAAUACCGCAUACUAUCAGAUGAGCCUAUGUCGGAUUAGCUAGUUGGUGGGGUAAAGGCCUACCAAGGCGACGAUCCGUAACUGGUCUGAGAGGAUGACCAGUCACACUGGAACUGAGACACGGUCCAGACUCCUACGGGAGGCAGCAGUGGGGAAUAUUGGACAAGGGGCGAAAGCCUGAUCCAGCCAUGCCGCGUGUGUGAAGAAGGUCUUCGGAUUGUAAAGCACUUUAAGUUGGGAGGCGUUACCAACAGAAUAAGCACCGGCUAACUACGUGCCAGCAGCCGCGGUAAUUC